AAUUUUUGGUAAGCAUUAUUAUGUUAUAAUGAACAUACCUUGUUCAUCAAAUGAUAUGACCAAAGUGAAAAGACUCAAAGCAUCUUCAUAAUUUAAAAGAAUAUGUUCAUAGCAAUUGAAACUGAUAAGAUAAUCAAAGCCUGGAAAUAUGAAAUGAAUUAAUGAUUUGUCAUGAACCACGAUGUGAAAAGCACGGAAGUCUGAAGAGACAGGGAGAGAGUGCUGAGUAAAAGCCAUGCAGAGGAUUUCACACAGAAGAGACCACGCUUCGAGAAAGAACACAGAUUGGAGCAUAGCCUCCUCAGUUCAGAGGACUAUAGAUUAAAACCAGAAGACCUAUUUUUCAUACUUUCCAUGUUGACCGAAAUUAAGAAGUCAGAGACUAUGAAAACCCAUAGAAUUCUGGGGCAGUUUAAACUGUUUCAAACACAUUAAUUCCGUCAAUUAUGUAGCAAAUGGAAAUCACAUGUGGCCUACAAAGCCUUGUACACAGGGGGCAAAUGCAUCCCCUUGUGCAUUAGGUUAUAUAAGCAAUAUCCCUACUAAAGUAAAAUAUUGGAAAUGAUUCAACUGUCCAUUGACAGUGAAAUAGAUAAAUUGUAGUCUAUCCACAAAAUGGAAUAACAUACCACAGAGGAAGUGAGGGAACUAUAGUCACAUGAGUUAAAAUGGAGUUAUCUGGGAGAAAAAUGAGUAGAAAUAGGUACAGUCACAGAAGAAAAUACACAGUCUGAUUUUUUUGUAUAACAUUUUUUAAGCAGUUGCAUCUAUUGGUUAUCAUGAGUUAGAAACUUCAGAGCAAAGCAUGAAAAUACCACAAAGUUCAAGACACUUCAAUGAGAAGAGGAUGCUUCCAUGGUAUUUGUAUAUUCUUUACUCUGCCUGGAACUGGUUUCAUGGAUAUUUCUUCUGCAAACAAUUAUAAAAAUCUCGUAUCCACAUAUGUUAUACAGUCUCUCUUUUGUGUCAGGCUUCUUGCUCAGUGGGGAGCCUGCCUCUCCCUCUCCCUCCCUCUUUGUUCCCCUCGCCCCCCACCCCCCCUCUCCUGCUCUCUCUCAAAUCAAGUCUUUAAAAAAAAUUGGAGAAAAAAAAAAGAUGGGUAAGCAAAAGCCUGAAAAGUCUUCGUGAUUUCAAGGCAUAACAAUGAUAAAAACUAUGAUGAAGUCAUGCUCCAGAAUAGAAAAUAAGCAAAUGGAAAUGUUGCAUUAUUGUCACUGGGGGUCUUUUAAGAAAUAAGAGGGCCUUAGCCGCGGCAGCAGGAACAGAAGCCAUGUCACUGUGACAACAGUCUCCAUCAAGUCAAGACACAACAUCUUGUGACACUGCCUGGAGGAUGGGGGCAGAUUCUGCAGUAAGUAAUAAUUUGCUAUAUUUUUUGGUAAUGUUAAACUGUGCUGUUUCCCUGUUUCCAAGUCUUGGAUAGUUUCAUUUGGGCUGCAUAGAAAAUAAAGGUUUGAACUUGUCAAGGUGAAGAUUACAGUUAUAAAAAAUUAGAUGACAGGGUUUAGAAGGUGGUUGAAAUAGGGUUAAGUAGAGAGAUGUGAUGUCCUCACACAACAAGGAGUUCGAAAACUUAAAAAACAGCAAUAUUAUGUUAUAUAGCUUUGUAUUUCUUAAGGUUUGUUUACCCCCAAAUUCAUAUUUCGAGGUCCUAACCCCUAAAGGGAUGGUAAUUUGGAGGUGGGGCAUUAGAAUGCAAUUAUAGUUGAUGAGGAAAUGAGGGUAGAGUUCUCAAAAUGGAAAUAGUGUCUUAUAAUAGAGACAGCAGAGAGGUGGUUUACACACUCUUCCUCUCUUGCUCACACAUGGGCACGCACACUCUCUCUCUCUCCCUCCGUCUCUCUCUCUCUCUUUACCAGGUAAGGACACACUGAAAAGGACUUCUGUUUGCGAGCCAGGAAGAGGGCUCUAACCAGAACCUGAACCGGUCACACCUUUUCUUGGACUUCCCAGCCUCCACAACUCCUGUAAAUGGAUGAGAUCUGUCGCUGGUAAAUCAAAACAGCACUGAACCCAUAAUAUUUGGAUAAAGAGUUAAGCACUUGCAGAAUAAAAAAUAUAAAUAAUUGAAGAUGAUUUUCUCUGAAGACUACUCAGUGGAAAGAAGGGGAGAUGUAGUGGUAUUACCUCUAUUUUAUAGAUGGAGAAACUAAGACCCAAAGCAAUGGAGUGGCUUUUCUAGACUACAUAGCAGUGAUGAGAGGCUCAGCGGGCCCAAGAUCUACAGUUGCCUAGAUGAAAACCUAGAAGAGCCUAAGAUGGGGUUCAGUCCAAGUCUAAAUCUGAAGACAGGAGAAGACUUCUUAGUCUCCAUAUAUGAGCCAGACCUUACAGUGGGAACUGCAGUUGCUGAAUCAGGAAACCUGCAUCAGUGGGAAUAACUGGAUCCCAGGGUGACAAGAGGCAUAUAGCAUCACUCAACCACAGAGGGCAAGAAAUCUUGACUACCUUUGCUUCCACAAGACAUCAUACUGGUCCAUUGCAUUGAUGGCAUUAUGCUGACUGGACCCACAGAGUAAGAAAUAGCACUGGAUGAAAAGCCACAUAUUCACAAUACAACUCCCAGAGGCAAACCACUGUUCUGAUAUUUCCCACCACAACAUAGAUUGGAUUUACCUGUUCCAGUCAUGUGAGUGGAAUCUCAUAAUACACACUACUAUGUGUAAGGCAUUUUUCACUCAGCAGAGUUCUGAGAUUCAUCAUAUGGAUGCAGAUGGUAGCUGUUUUUCAGCUGAAGUUCAAGAAUAAAGACACUAUGGAAAAACACCCUUCAGUAAAUCUGAGAGGCACACGCAGCAUGAAUGAGAGAUAAGCCUAUGUUGUUUAAAAUCACUAAAAUUUGAAGGGUCUUUGUUACUAGAGCAUGAUCUAGAUUAUCUUGCUUACACAUUUUACACAGUUGAUUUGAUGUGAAACAACUGUAAACUGCUCCUAGGUUUUAUAUCAGGGGUCUAUUCUACUAGCUGUCAUGAUCUUUAGAAUUUCCUCAUUCAAUCAAAAUAGCUUUAACUGAACAGCCUUUUUGAUAUUUGAGGGAGGAUAGAUGGAAUAUUGGGCCUGAAAGAAAUUUGGGAAGUAUCUGGCUAUUGGAUUGGUAAUAACUUACUAAGCAUGUAAUCAAUGACAGAAAAAAAGAGAUUGACUUAUUUUACUAUGUAAGCAUUUAAAAAGUUUUUCUCCUAUACAUAAAUAAAUGACAAGAAAAAUAUACCAGGCAAGUGUUUAUAACAUAUACAACAAAGAGUCACUAUCGUUAUUAAAGCAAAUAAGAUAAACACUGGCAGCAAGACUAAAAUAACAAUACAGAAAAGACAAAAUGUAAGUGAACAUUAAACACUGUAGGUGAAAUGUGAAUAUUAAAGUUUAGGUUAAUGAGUAAUCAUAGAAUUCCAAUGAAAACAAUGAAAUUCCAUAUUUUGUGUAUGAAAAAGGCAAGAUCUUCAAAAUGGUUAAGGUAUUGUUAGACAUCCUCACAGGCUAAUGAGGGCUCCUUUGAACAUAGCAAAUUUUGACAGUUAUAUACAGUUUAUUUUUAAAAAUCGGAUUUGUGACCUUGUAAUUUUAUUUCUAGGAGUGUAUCCUUAAGGAACAACCAUGAGCAUUAAAAAAACCCACAUUUGUGCAAAAAGAUGCUCAUCACUUAUACAUUAAUAGUUUUAAAAAGCUAAAAACAAUGUAAAAGUCCAGAAGAAUUUAAUUCCUGAGUAAUUUAUGUUGUAUCUUCUUAAGGGCUCCUGCAGUUUUUAAAUUGUGUCUACUAGAAUUUCAAGAAAAUGUGAAAAUUCUUAUAUAAUCUCUUUCAAUAAAAGAAUAAUUAACCACAAAAUAUGAAAGUCUUAAAUAUAUUUUAUCCUUGAAAUGAGGAUUAGGAAAAAAACUAGAAUUUUAUUUUUACCCUCAGUAUUAUCAAAACUUUCUCCUAACCUUGAAUUAGUUUCUUAGAAUAGAAAAUAGAAGCAAGCCCAUUAAGUCUUUUGCAAAAAGGAGGGAAGGGAAAAAAGGAAUAUUGUUAGUUUAAUGAAUAAUCAAAAUAUGUAGCUCUUUUUUAUUCUAAAUAUGAGUCACUGACAAUAGGCAAAUAGUAAAAUGCACAUGUACUAAAAAAUAUUGGAGGAAGUAUGGGGAAAAGUGCAUCCUGAAGACCAGCUAUAUUCAGACACACAUCCUUCUCCUGCAAGCUUCUGAAUCACAUAUACUGGGAAAUGUUAUUCUGAUGCUAUGGUCAUUUCCUUGAGUGAAGUUUAAUGUUCUUUCUGAAAAAUAAAUGUACUUCCUUAAAAGUAUCUGCAAACCUAAUUUAAAUGUUCCUAACAUUUUACUCUUUAUUUAAUUUCCAUGUAAUUUGAAGUGAGAAGGAAAGAUAAAAGCUUUUAAAAAAAGUAUUAACUUCAUUUUGUAUCACUCAAUUUUAACAAAUUAGUACAUAAUCCAAUGAACACAGGAUAGUUAAUAUCUUGUGUUGAUUAUACUUAAAAUAUACAUUGCAUCAAUAUAAAAAUGAACUUAAUUAGGAAAGGAAUCAAAUAAGUGUCAAGAUCACUAUUUUUGUCAAUUGUUUCCUAUCAAAAUCAAUGAAGAUUAAUUUGAAAGGAGCAUCAACGUUAUCUAAUUACACUAAAUAAGAACUGAGAUGACAAAAGGAAGCAUUUUAGUUACAGGAAAAAGUGUAGUAAUUAAACUUGCCAUUUACUUCCAGAGUUUCAUGUUUUUUUUAGAUACUUUUGCAAAAUAUGGUAUACAAUCGUACUGUACUGGUUUUAAGACUUGCAUUAAAAAUAACUGAAUAGCUAUCACAUUAAUAAAUCUUUGAGAAAAAUAAAUAAAUAAAUAAAUAUUUGAGGAAGUACCUUCUCACCAAUUAUUUUACAGUGUCACCACAUUUUUAUUUUCUUUAAUUAGAAAUGACCUUACAGGUCACAUGAUGAGAGUAAGGAACUGAGGCUAAAUUAUUUUUCAAAAGCUACAUUGCAAAUUAAAAUCCAAGCUAGGUGUGGAGUUCAGACACCGUGUAGUUUACUCAAUCAACAAAUUGACUAACAUUUUUUAAAGGAAGGAAAGCAGUGUGAUUUUCCCAGUUUGAUGAAUAAUCAUGAAUUUUUCCAGAGCUGUGCAGUGCUUCUAACACUGUAAUGUUAACAAUGUUUUUAAUCAUGUUUGUUGGUCUUUAAUAACAUUUGUUCAUCUUUAAUAAUGUUUGUUGAAUUGAGUCAAACUGAACUACUUUAAAAUCUAUGUGAGUAUCCAGAGUAAUUUCUUUUGGAUUCAUUAUGAAGGUAAUGUUCUUGAUUUCAGUAGAUAAGAAUAAAAUCUACAUUUCUGCAUGGAACUGCAGGUGUUCAGUGCCUGUAGCAUCAACAAAAUUACAUCAAUUAAUUUGAAAAAAAAUAUGCACAAAUCUAUUAGAAAAGAAAGAUUGGCCAAAAUUUAAGAAAAAAGACAAUUCCCAUAUUAAUCUUUUUGGUAAACUUUGUCCUAUUCCAUUGUAAUAUUUUAUUUACACAAAUAUGUAUAUGUCUACAAGCUAUUUCAUCAUUUGAAAGUAUCAUUUUAACAUGUAAAAAUACCAAAUUAACUUUUAAUCUGGAUGUUAAUGAUACUCAUUUUGUUAAUGAAAAGCAAGAUCUAAUUCACUACUGUGAGUGAUAUUUGUUGAUUGGAUUAAGCUAUCAUCUUUCCAUGAAUAACUGAAGCCAAUAUACAUAAAACCACAUGCUGUGUCUACAUAUAUAUUGACUAAAGUGAGUAAUGAAAAUGAAGUAUUUUCAGAAGCAUGCAAAUAUUCUAGAGUAUUUGUAUAAUAUUUAUUAUCUGGAUAACAUCAGAAUCAAGUCUCUCUUCCACUAAGAAUGUACAGAUAGGCAGUUUACAUGAUUAUUAAACAUAGGAACACUAAGAAAAAACAUCAUUGUAUCAGAGUCCUGGUUUUGCUAUUACUGACUCUGUGAUGUUUCCAAGUCAAUUAAUUUUUCAAAGUCUCCAUCUCCUCAUCUAUAAAAUGGGAAUUAUAAUAGUACUUAAAUUAUGGAGUUGUUGUAAAGAUCCAAUGAAAUAGUGUAUUUAAAUACUUAGCAAUAUUUCUGGCAUAAGAUAAAUUCUCAAUUCUCAAUAUAUUUUAUCAGUUAUAUUUCAAAAGUGACAUUCACAAAAUCACUUUAUACCAGAAGAAUGAUAACAGUUUAAAAAUCUUAUUGGCUAAAAAAGAAAAAAAAGUGACUUAUCAUCUAUAAGGUGGAAAGAACAAUGGGGAAAAGAAGCCAAUCCCAUACUUUAUGAGUGGCCAUAUAAAGUAAGUCAAAUGUUACAGUGCACUUGGCUUAAGCUAUUUAUUCACGUUUUCUUCAGCCUUUACCUUCCCACAAAAAAAUAUUAGUCUAAAAUGUAUCUAUACUUAAAGUUAAUUUUUCUGUAAUUUUCAAUCAUCUCCCUGAAAGUUUCUCUCCUAUAUCACCUAUCCUAUUCUCAGGCACCAUGAUAUUGCCCCAUGAAAUUUAACUGAGUUUGUAUCUAAUAAUCUCCCUGAUACCAGACUAACACCUAAGCUCCCAAACAAAAGCAGUUGUUUACAGAAGAAGAGGAAAAGAAUGCUAUGAAUGAUAUUUUAAAAUUAACGAACUCAAAUGUGAGUAUCUAAAAAUGCAUCAUUUUUUAAGUUUUUAACGUUUACCUGUCCCACCUUUUGGGAAUGAGAAUGUGUUUGUGAUUCUGGGUUGGAAUGGGUGCCAGAAUUUCCAAAAGAAGUCUGAGUUUGAGGGAUGUGUGCUAGCAAUUCGAGCAAAUCUGUGUUUAAGGAUGUGAGACGGACCAUCAUCCAGUGCCUAGCCUGCAGCACGUACCAAGUCAGCACUUUACUGGCUUCCUGAGUCUUCACCCAGACAUAGGCGGCAAGAUCAAAUGAGUAGAAUUUGCUAUAGCUAUUUCAGCCAGAAUGUGGCAGCUCUCUUCAUUAAAAAAAAAAUCCUGUUUCCAUAGUUUCAAAAUAGCCAUAAUUUAUAAAGAAUGAAAAUUAAGUAUUUUCUGUUUAACAAUUAUAAUCUUCUAGAUUUUAUCCAUGACCUAAUGUAAAAAUAAUUUAUUGUGGGUAUAUAGGAUAUUUAUCUAAAAUAUGUUUAUAGUUACUAAAAUUUAGAGGGCAGAAAAAGGGUAAAGCAUGGUCUGUGUGGAAAUUUUUCUAUGAUCUAUAGUUAUGUUCACCUCCAUCAUUAAGGAAAAGCAAUCCACUAGUGAGUAUUUGGCUUAACGUAUACAAUUAACCAGAGAUAAAUUUAUGCUGCUAAGCAGUGCUGGCCAGGAAAAAAAAAUAAGUUUUGGUUUGUAUUAUUAUAUACCUCUAAUUACUAAAGGAGAUUAUGCAUAUUAAUCAGUUUCCCCAAAUGGAUUUUAGGAAGAAAAGAAACUCCAAGAAGUUAAGUCACUAAGCUUAAUGUACCG